rnacentral:rRNA from 1 species
UAAGGAAUAUUGGUCAAUGGGGGCAACCCUGAACCAGCCAUGCCGCGUGCAGGAAGACGGCCCUACGGGUUGUAAACUGCUUUUAUACGGGAAUAAAUCAUGCUACGUGUAGCGUGUUGAAUGUACUGUAAGAAUAAGGAUCGGCUAACUCCGUGCCAGCAGCCGCGGUAAUACGGAGGAUCCAAGCGUUAUCCGGAUUUAUUGGGUUUAAAGGGUGCGUAGGCGGCCUAUUAAGUCAGGGGUGAAAGACGGUGGCUCAACCAUCGCAGUGCCCUUGAUACUGAUGGGCUUGAUUACACUUGAGGUAGGCGGAAUGUGACAAGUAGCGGUGAAAUGCAUAGAUAUGUCACAGAACACCAAUUGCGAAGGCAGCUUACUAAGGUGUCAAUGACGCUGAGGCACGAAAGCGUGGGGAUCAAACAGGAUUAGAUACCCUGGUAGUCCACGCCCUAAACGAUGAAUACUCGAUGUUAGCGAUAUACAGUUAGCGUCAAAGCGAAAGCGUUAAGUAUUCCACCUGGGGAGUACGCCCGCAAGGGUG